rnacentral:piRNA from 1 species
UAGGCAGACACCUACACUCCUAGGAUAGAAC